GCCCCAGGAGUUGCUUUUUUUUUUUUUUAUGUUUUGUUUUGCUUUGUUUCAGUGAAAUGGGAAUGUCCUGAGCUAAGAUGUUCCACCAGCCCAGAAGAAGCCCUUAAAAUGAGAAUGCCUGUUCGAGAGGACUCAGAAAAGAUGAACUAAGAAUCCCUGGUGAGGGGCUCGGGUAGAAGUGGUGAGCUCCACCCUGGUUUCAGGUUUAGAGAUUAGUGUCACCGGCGCUUCCUCCAGGCUGUCUCCCGGCUAGCUCCCUUCAGCUGAACAGUUGAGGGUGGAUGUUGGGCUUUUGUUCGCAAGGAAUGAGGAAAAAAAGACUACCCAGACAAGACCAAAGUUUGCUUCCUCCUCCUCCAUAUGAAUUCGUUGGAAUGAAGGCCAGCCCUGAUUCGGCUACAGAGGGAACAACAGCAUGAAUGCCGGGAGCCAUCGGAGAGGCUGGUUCUUGACGAUGUCAGGAUGCCCUCUGAAACAAUGUAACCAUAAUUUCUUAGCAUCAUCAACUAUGGAGCCACUGUCUAGACUUUUCUCAACUGUUUGCUUCAAUCAGGAUCCAAAUAAGUUCCAUAUAUUGUAAUUUGUCAUUAUUUCUCUUAAGCCCCUUUUAAACUAUAGAUUCCUCCUUC